CACGUAGGGCGCGAGCGUUGUCCGGAAUUAUUGGGCGUAAAGAGCUUGUAGGCGGUUUGUCGCGUCUGCCGUGAAAGCCCAGGGCUUAACCCUGGGUCUGCGGUGGGUACGGGCAGACUAGAGUGUGGUAGGGGAGACUGGAAUUCCUGGUGUAGCGGUGAAAUGCGCAGAUAUCAGGAGGAACACCGAUGGCGAAGGCAGGUCUCUGGGCCACUACUGACGCUGAGAAGCGAAAGCAUGGGGAGCAAACAGG
rnacentral:rRNA from 1 species